UGCUGCUUUGCUGACGAGUGGCGGACGGGUGAGUAAUGUCUGGGAAACUGCCUGAUGGAGGGGGAUAACUACUGGAAACGGUGGCUAAUACCGCAUAACGUCGCAAGACCAAAGAGGGGGACCUUCGGGCCUCUUGCCAUCAGAUGUGCCCAGAUGGGAUUAGCUUGUUGGUGAGGUAACGGCUCACCAAGGCGACGAUCCCUAGCUGGUCUGAGAGGAUGACCAGCCACACUGGAACUGAGACACGGUCCAGACUCCUACGGGAGGCAGCAGUGGGGAAUAUUGCACAAUGGGCGCAAGCCUGAUGCAGCCAUGCCGCGUGUAUGAAGAAGGCCUUCGGGUUGUAAAGUACUU
rnacentral:rRNA from 1 species